rnacentral:rRNA from 1 species
AUGGACGGCUCCGCCUCCAAGGGCAAGCGCAAGCGCGGCCGCAAGAGCAAGGCGGCAGCGGACCAGCCCCCGCCGUCCCCCGACGCCCCCGCCGCCGCCGCGGUCGCCGACAACCCCGCCCCGGCCGCCCCCGGCCGCCGCGGGCGCAAGCCGCGACGCGUCGAGGUCGAGGCCCCGGCCGCCGCGGACGCCUCCACCACGCCACGGCGCGGGGACGCGAAGCACCUGACGAACGGAGGGGACGCGGCGAUGGCGGAGCUGGGCCCCGAGGGCUGGGAGGAGGUCGUCAGGGUGGUGCCCUCCAUGGACGCGGUCGUCAAGGUGUUCUGCGUGCACACCGAGCCCAACUUCUCGCUGCCGUGGCAGCGGAAGCGGCAGUACAGCUCCAGCAGCAGCGGCUUCAUCAUCGGCGGCCGGCGCGUCCUCACCAACGCCCACUCCGUCGAGCACUUCACCCAGGUCAAGCUUAAGAAGCGCGGGUCCGACACCAAGUACCUCGCCACGGUCCUCGCCAUAGGCACCGAGUGUGACAUUGCCCUGUUAACUGUCAGUGAUGAUGAGUUCUGGGAGGGAGUUACACCAGUUGAGUUUGGGUCGUUGCCAGCACUUCAGGAUGCAGUCACUGUUGUUGGUUAUCCAAUUGGAGGAGAUACAAUAUCAGUGACAAGUGGUGUGGUCUCUAGGAUAGAGAUACUGUCCUAUGUGCAUGGUUCUACCGAACUUUUAGGGUUGCAGAUAGAUGCAGCUAUUAAUUCAGGAAAUUCAGGUGGCCCAGCUUUUAAUGAUAGGGGCAUAUGUGUUGGUAUAGCUUUUCAAUCUCUCAAACAUGAGGAUGUAGAGAAUAUAGGUUAUGUGAUACCCACCCCAGUUAUCAAGCAUUUUAUUCAAGACUAUGAAAAAUCUGGAGCAUAUACAGGCUUCCCUAUAAUUGGGAUAGAAUGGCAGAAAAUGGAAAAUCCCGAUCUCCGAAAAGCAAUGGGAAUGAAACCUGAUCAAAAGGGUGUUCGUGUUAGGAGAGUGGAGCCUACUGCUCCCGAGUCUGGAUGUCUGCAACCGUCAGAUAUUAUUCUUAGCUUUGAUGGAGUUGACAUUGCCAAUGAUGGUACAGUUCCUUUCAGGCAUGGCGAGCGAAUUGGCUUUAGUUACCUUGUUUCUCAGAAAUAUACCGGUGACAAAGCCCUUAUCAAAGUCCUGCGCAACUCAAAAGUUCAUGAAUUUAAAAUAAAGUUAGCGACCCACAAGCGGCUCAUUGCAGCUCAUGUCAAGGGCAGGCCACCAUCAUAUUACAUUGUUGCUGGCUUUGUUUUUGCAGCUGUCUCUGUUCCAUAUCUCCGUUCUGAGUAUGGGAAAGACUACGAAUAUGAUGCACCUGUCAAGUUGUUGGUCAAGCAUUUGCAUUCAAUGGCGGAAUCACCUGAUGAACAGCUGGUGGUGGUAUCACAGGUGCUUGUGGCAGAUAUCAAUAUCGGUUAUGAAGAUAUUGUCAAUACGCAGGUCCUUGCCGUUAAUGGUCAUCCUGUGAAAAAUUUGAGGGACUUAGUGACAACAGUGGAAAAUUGCAAGGAUGAAUUCUUGAAGUUUGAUUUGGAGUAUGACCAGAUUGUUGUCCUGGAGAGAAAAACCGCCAAGGCUGCUACCGAGGACAUUCUGACAACGCACUGUAUACCGUCGGCCAUGUCUGAUGACCUGAAGGCCUAA